UUGUAGCCUGCUAUGGUAUAACUUAGUGGCAGACGGGUGAGUAAUGUAUAGGAAUCUACCUAGUAGUAUGGAAUAAUUGUUGGAAACGACAACUAAUACCAUAUACGCCCUACGGGGGAAAGAUUUAUUGCUAUUAGAUGAGCCUAUAUUAGAUUAGCUAGUUGGUGAGGUAAAAGCUCACCAAGGCAAUGAUCUAUAGCUGAUCUGAGAGGAUGAUCAGCCACACUGGAACUGAGAUACGGUCCAGACUCCUACGGGAGGCAGCAGUGGGGAAUAUUGGACAAUGGGUGAAAGCCUGAUCCAGCCAUGCCGCAUGAGUGAAGAAGGCCUUCGGGUUGUAAAGCUCUUUUAGUGAGGAAGAUAAUGACGGUACUCACAGAAGAAGUCCUGGCUAACUCCGUGCCAGCAGCCGCGGUAAUACGGAGAGGGCUAGCGUUAUUCGGAAUCAUUGGGCGUAAAGGGCGCGUAGGCGGGUUAGUAAGUUAAAAGUGAAAUCCCAAGGCUCAACCUUGGAACUGCUUUUAAAACUGCUAAUCUAGAGAUUGAAAGAGGAUAGAGGAAUUCCUAGUGUAGAGGUGAAAUUCGUAAAUAUUAGGAGGAACACCAGUGGCGAAGGCGUCUAUCUGGUUCAAAUCUGACGCUGAGGCGCGAAGGCGUGGGGAGCAAACAGGAUUAGAUACCCUGGUAGUCCACGCUGUAAACGAUGAAUGUUAAAUAUGGGGAGGUUACUCUCUGUAUUACAGCUAACGCGUUAAACAUUCCGCCUGGGGACUACGGUCGCAAGAUUAAAACUCAAAGGAAUUGACGGGGACCCGCACAAGCGGUGGAGCAUGUGGUUUAAUUCGAUGCAACGCGAAAAACCUUACCACUCCUUGACAUGAAAAUCAUACCUAUUC
rnacentral:rRNA from 1 species